AGGUCAAGCGAACAAGGGCGCAGGGCGAAUGCCUUGGCACUGGGAGCCGAUGAAAGACGUGAUAAGCUGCGAUAAGCUUCGGGGAGCUGCAAAUAAGCAUUGAUCCGGAGAUUUCUGAAUGAGGAAACUCACCUGGGUUCAUACUCAGGUACGUUAUACUGAACUUAAAAAUAGGUAUAUCGAGGGAACCGCCUGAACUGAAACAUCUAAGUAGGGCGAGGAAGAGACAUCAAACGAGAUUCCGUAAGUAGUGGCGAGCGAACGCGGAAGAGGGCAAACCGGGAGUAGAAAUACUCCCGGGGUACGGACUGCUUUUAGGACUUAAUCUGUUAACCGAACGGCAUGGGAAGGCCGGUCAGAGAGUGUGAGAACCACGUAGGUGAAAACGGAGAGAGCUGCGCAGGAUCCAGAGUACGGCCAGACACGUGAAACCUGGUCGGAAUACGGGGGGACCACCCUCCAACCCUAAAUACUACCCAGUGACCGAUAGCGUAUAGUACUGUGAAGGAAAGGUGAAAAGCACCCCGGGAGGGGAGUGAAAAAGAACCUGAAACCCUGUGCCUACAAGCACCUAGAGCACGUCAAUGUGUGAUAGGGUACUUUUUGUAGAACGGUCCGGCGAGCGAUUGUAUGCAGCAAGGUUAAGGACUUAAGGUCUGGAGCCGAAGCGAAAGCGAGUUUGAAAAGGGCGUUAAGUUGCAUACAAUGGGCCCGAAACCGGGUGACCUACCCAUGGUCAGGUUGAAGUGGAAGUAAAAUUCCAUGGAGGACCGAACCGACCUCCGUUGAAAAGGCGGCGGAUGAACUGUGGGUAGCGGAGAAAUUCCAAUCGAACCCGGAGAUAGCUGGUUCUCCCCGAAAUAGUUUUAGGACUAGCCUCAAGUUAGAUACCUGGAGGUAAAGCACUGAAUAGCCUAGCGGCCGAGAGGUUAGCGAAGCUUAUCAAACUCAGAAUGCCAGAGUAUUGAUGCUUGGGAGUCAGACAGUGUCAGAUAAAUGUCAUUGUCAAAAGGGAAACAGCCCAGAUCUACAGCUAAGGUCCCAAAGUCAGGUUAAGUGGAAAACGAUGUGAAGAUACGUAGACAACCAGGAUGUUGGCUCAGAAGCAGCCACACAUUCAAAGAGUGCGUAAUAGCUCACUGGUCGAGCGUCUUUGCGCGGAGAAUUUAACGGGGCUAAACCUGACACCGAAGCUUAGGCAAUACAGCAAUGUAUUGGGUAGGGGAGCGUUGUAUACGCGGUGAAACAGUAGCGCAAGCGGCUGUGGAGUGUAUAGAAGUGAGAAUGCCGGAAUGAGUAGCGCGAAUGCAGUGAGAAUCUGCAUGGCCGAAAGCCUCAGGUUUCUGGAGGAAGGUUCGUCCGCUCCAGGUUAGUCGGGAGCUAAGGUGAGGCCUAACGGCGUAGCCGAUGCACAGACGGUAGAGAUUCCGUCACCACCAAAAGAGUUAAACACAGGGACACAUUUGAAGUCUCGGAGCCGGGUGUUGGUUCCGGUAGCGAUCGAGGGAAGUUAGUACCGAAGUCCGGGAUGGAAGAUGGCGAGAAAAGCUGUGUGUAUUUCUGCGGUGCCCGUACCGCAAACCGACACAGGUAGGUAGGAAGAAGAUUCUAAGGCCAACGGGAGAAGGGUUGUUAAGGAACUCGGCAAAUUGACCCCGUAACUUCGGGAGAAGGGGUGCUCCAGAGAUGGAGCCGCAGAGAAUCGGCCCAAGCAACUGUUUACCAAAAACACAGGUUUGUGCUAAAUCGAAAGAUGACGUAUACGAGCUGACGCCUGCCCGGUGCUGGAAGGUUAAGAGGAGAUGUGCAAGCAUUGAAUCGAAGCCCCAGUGAACGGCGGCCGUAACUAUAACGGUCCUAAGGUAGCGAAAUUCCUUGUCAGGUAAGUUCUGACCCGCAUGAAAGGCGUAAUGAUUUGGGCACUGUCUCGACAGCCCGCCCGGCGAAAUUGUAGUACCGGUGAAGAUGCCGGUUACCCGCGACAAGACGGAAAGACCCCAUGGAGCUUUACUGUAGCCUAAUAUUGGGUUUCGAUGUUGCAUGCACAGGAUAGAUGGGACACAGGGAAACAAGUGCUUUGGCAUUUGUGGAGUGGCCGUUGGGAUACCAUCCUUGCGAUAUUGGAAUUCUAACCUGCGCCUUUGAAUCAAGGCGGGGGACAUUGUUAGGUGGGCAGUUUGACUGGGGCGGUCGCCUCCUAAAGAGUAACGGAGGCGUUCAAAGGUUCGCUCAGCUUGAACGGAAAUCAAGCAAAAGAGUGCAAACGCAGAAGCGAGCCUAACUGCGAGACUGACGGGUCGAGCAGUAACGAAAGUUGGAGUUAGUGAUCCGGUGGUAUGUGAGUGGAAAUGCCAUCGCUCAACGGAUAAAAGUUACCCUGGGGAUAACAGGCUGAUCUCCCCCAAGAGUCCACAUCGACGGGGAGGUUUGGCACCUCGAUGUCGGCUCAUCGCAUCCUGGGGCUGUAUUCGGUCCCAAGGGUUUGGCUGUUCGCCAAUUAAAGCGGUACGCGAGCUGGGUUCAGAACGUCGUGAGACAGUUCGGUCCCUAUCUGUCGUGGGCGCAGGAUAUUUGAUGGGAGCUGUUCCUAGUACGAGAGGACCGGAGCGGACGUACCUCUGGCGCACCAGUUGUUCUGCCAAGGGCAUAGCUGGGCAACUAUGUACGGAUCGGAUAAACGCUGAAAGCAUCUAAGCGUGAAGCCGACCCAAAGAUAAGAUAUCCCAUUGUUUCAAACAAGUAAGACCCCUUGAAGACUACAAGGUUGAUAGGCACGAUGUGUAAGUGGAGUGAUCCAUUCAGCAAGCGUGUACUAAUAGGUCGAGGGCUUGACCACAA
rnacentral:rRNA from 1 species